rnacentral:tRNA from 1 species
ACUUAGGUGGCUGAAAAUUUAAGCAACGGUCUCUUAAACCGCCCCAUAGUAUUUACUCCUAUCAA